rnacentral:rRNA from 1 species
UGAAUACGAGAUGCUAAGGCGUCGAAGCAGUGUAUGUCAUGCUUCCAAGAAAAGCUUGCAAUGUCAUAAAUAAAAAGUGCCUGUACCAUAACCGACACAGGUGGGUAAGUAGAGUAUACUAAGGGGCGCGAGAUAACUCUCUCUAAGGAACUCGGCAAAAUAACUCCGUAACUUCGGGAGAAGGAGUGCCUUAUUCUUAAGGUUGCAAUAACAAGAUCCAAGCAACUGUUUAUCAAAAACACAGGUCUCCGCUAAGUCGUAAGACGAUGUAUGGGGGCUGACGCCUGCCCAGUGCCAGAAGGUUAAAGAAGUCGGUUAGCAAUUGCGAAGCUGGUAACUGAAGCCCUGGUGAACGGCGGCCGUAACGAUAACGGUCCUAAGGUAGCGAAAUUCCUUGUCGGGUAAGUUCCGACCCGCACGAAAGGCGUAAUGAUUUGGAUGCUGUCUCGGAGAGGGGCUCGGUGAAAUAGACUUGUCUGUGAAGAUGCGGACUACCUGCACCAGGACAGAAAGACCCUAUGAAGCUUUGCUGUAACUUGAAAUUGAAAUUGGACUUUAUUCGCGCAGUAUAGGUGGGAGGCGUUGAUUAUAAUCUUGCGGGAUUAUCGGAGCCAUCAGUGAGAUACCACUCUUCUAAUGUUAGAUUUCUAACUUUGAAUCAUUAUCUGGUCAAAGGACAAUUUCAGGCGGGCAGUUUGACUGGGGCGGUCGCCUCCUAAAUGGUAACGGAGGCGUACAAAGGUUUCCUCUGAACGGUUAGAAAUCGUAUCUAGAGUGUGAAGGCAUAAGGAAGCUUGACUGUGAGACCUACAAGUCGAGCAGGGACGAAAGUCGGUCUUAGUGAUCUGACGGUACUGAGUGGAAAGGCCGUCACUCAACGGAUAAAAGUUACUCUAGGAUAACAGGCUGAUCUCCCCCAAGAGUUCACAUCGACGGGGAGGUUUGGCACCUCGAUGUCGGCUCAUCGCAUCCUGGGGCGGUAGUACGUCCCAAGGGUUGGGCUGUUCGCCCAUGAAAGCGGUACGCGAGCUGGGUUCAGAACGUCGUGAGACAGUUCGGUCCAUAUCCGGUGUAGGCGUUAGAAUAUUGAGAGGAGCCUUCUUUAGUACGAGAGGACCGAGAAGGACAUACCUCUGGUGUACCAGUUAUCGUGCCAACGGUAAACGCUGGGUAGCUAUGUAUGGAGUGGAUAACCGCUGAAAGCAUCUAAGUGGGAAGCCCACCUCAAGAUAAGUAUUCUC